AGGAGGAGAAUGAGAAAGAUUCUUCUAUCAGCCUUAACAGAGAAACUGAGAGAAUAUCAUCAAAGACUGCUGUUUUUUGAACGCCUCAAGUUAUCAUCUGUUUGUGAUAACAAAAAUCCAAUAUGUCAUAAACAUGUUGAAACCUUCUGGCCUUUACAGUUUUACCAGCCCAAGGAAAAGUGAGUCUGUAGUGUUUAAUACAUUCAGUCAUGGACUUGGAGACUGAGAACUACAACCAGCUCGGGAUCGUCAGGUACACGGCAUGGGACAGGAAGCCAGGAAGAGUCUUCUGAAAGAGCAGUCACCACUGAAAACUGAAAAGGGACAGCAUGUGAGCAGAAUCAUUACCUAAGUUCCCCUUCUUUAUUAGAAAAAUUAUGUCAUUACUUGUUUGCUUAGGCAACUUGUAUGUCACCACAUCCCAAAACUACUUAUGAGAGUGAGUAAGAGCCUUUACUUUAUGAUGUACUCCAUUUUUUUAAUUUAUUUUUCCUUUUUGUCUCUCCACCUCCUGACUGUUGCUAUGGAAGCUGCCACUUCAUUUCUGUUAUACUCCCUUAAACACCUGUUAAUCUUCUGACCUUUCCUGCAGGCUCGAUCCCUUAAUCACCCCCAGUGCUGAUAAAGUACAGAAAGAUGACAAUAUUCGUUGUUGCAAGGCCUGCAUGUUCCCACUCCCACGCUUUUAAUUAUUCUGUGCCAUUAUGUUGCUAUGAUGUUGUCACUUAACUUCCCAGAGAGAUGCCGUGCUGCCGUUAGAUUAGGACAGAUUUAAAGAAAUCUGUUUAAAGCUGAUUCUAAUUCCACAGAGAAUUUUCUGUCCCUCAAAUUUUCUUUAAAGGUAGUUUUAGCAGAAUUUCCAGAUAUUGUCAAAUAAUUAUGAGAAACAACUUUGUAUUCAUGAAAAAGGAGAAGUUUUAUUUCAAGUUUUGUAUUGUUCGGGCCUCAGACUAGCAGUCCUUCUUUAAAUCAACUUUGACUUGUUCACCUUAAUUAAAAAUAAUUUUUUUAAUGCUCAUCUGAAUGUAUAUUUCUCUACACAGCAGCAUAACUUAGCAGUAUUAGCUCUAGUGCACCUGGAACCAAUGUUAUCUUAAAACAAAUACUGAGCACUAACCUUUAUUUCCUCUCUCCAAUUCCAAUUCUUCAGGUAGCUAGUAGUAGAUAAAUUUAAUUUCUAGGUUACCAGUGAACCAGAUGGUAACACACAGAAAAUGAAGAGGAAAAACAUGCCUUCCUUGCACUUAUUUAAUUACGUUUUCCUUCUGCUCAUCAGAUAAGUUAUGUAUAACUUGUGAGAAAAACACAUUCCUGAAACAUGACGUUGCUUUUGAAAUGUUGGUAAAAUACCUAUAUAAGUUUUGAGAUGUAAAUUCCUAACUGUUAAAACGUGCUGUCAUGCAAUAUAACAACAUUUAAUACAUGCAACCAUGUAAUUAUGCAUAAUGACUAGUGAUCAUUGUGUAUGCUGAUAGCAGGGGUACAGGGAGGCUGUGGUAUGUUCAGCUGGUCCUCUGCACCUGCAGAAAGCAGAAAAAUCUUCUCACUGUGGAGGAAACAAGAUAAUGACAGUAUGAUAUUAAAUGCAAACAUUAAUUCUUUGGAGUAAAAUACAUGGAAGUAGUCCAUCAAUUGAGAUGUGUUAUUGUGAACUCUGAAAUUGUGUUGCCUGUCAUCUUAAAGAAAAUAAAGGACUAGUGGAAUGAAAUAAUUUAUUGUUUACCACAUACCUGUUAAAUCUAUUGUUUUUACUUUGGAGAAUAUUUAUAUUAGUAUUUAAGCUUCUAUCUGUGAUAAACUCUCUACGUACAUAAUAACUUCUACUUGGAUUCUGAAGUAAAUAAUGAAAUGAUCA